rnacentral:ncRNA from 1 species
CGAUGAGGUAGAGGUUGCGGCUUUUAUGAGUACAGUGAACGAGGCGCAGAGACGUUAAGGACUUCACUCGAAAGGAAAAGUCGCCGAAGUCCGCUCAUUUCUCUGGAUGUGUGGGCUGGGGCUGUCUUCGAAUAGAGGCAGCACUGUCACGACUGCAUUUUGGCAAUCGUGAGGCGCUAUCUUCACG